rnacentral:lncRNA from 1 species
UGGCCUCCAUCACCUGCUCAGGUGUGGAGCUUCUGGGCAAUUUGAGCCCCCAUCACCAUGUGCUCCUCCACCUGGGCAGGACCCAGAGCCAUGCUGGGCUGUCUGGCCCUUCUCUGGGCCCUCCUGGUUCCUGGCCAAGAGAUCAGGCUGGUACAGCUGCCCGUGAUAGUGUCGCGUGUGGGGAAUUCUGUCACCAUGCCCUGCCGGAUCAAUACGUCCGUCAGCUACAUCCAUUGGUAUCGCCAGCUGGAGGGCCAGGCCCCUGAGAGGCUCCUCUAUCUGGCCACGUCGCAGCGGGAUGUGCAGUGGGAUUCCGUCCUGCAAGGCAAUAAGGUCACCGCUAAGAAGGGCAAUGAUGACAAAAGCUGUACCCUGUCCUUGAUGAAGCUGGAGAAGGGUGAUGAGGGCCUGUAUUACUGUGCUGCCUGGGUUCAUACAACAAAAUCUUCGGUGCUGGAACAAAACUUUUCGUCAUAGGUAGGUAUGAGGAAUGCAGCCUUUUCAAGGAGAUGGGGGCAGGCAAGAAACAAAUUUGAAUUAUAGUUAAAAAUGUUUGGAAAAAUGGGAAUGGGAAUGGGGAUUAGAUGUCGAAGUUUAGGAGAGGUUUUAAAACAAAUGCCUAGAGUAAAGGAAAGCAGAGACAACAUGGUGCAGAUAUAGUAGGAUUUGGGUUUGUGUGCAUGUGGGCUUAUGUAAGAGGGCUCAUGGAUAACUCCUAUAAUCAUCAUGAAAGUGUUGGGCUUAAGGCUGAUGUGCGUUAUGACAGGUGAGUUUUGUCAAUCGAUACGUGUCCUUUUCUGAUGGUGAAAAGCUGUUUUCAAAAAUCUAGGCUUUGGAGUCAGGCUAACCUGGAACUCUGGGUCCAUAAUUUACUGCUGCUGAGAACUUGGUUGAUUACUUUUGGGUCUCAGUCUCCUAAUCUGUGAAAUGGGAUAACAGUAUGUAUCCAGCAUGGGUUGUAUAAGAAUAAAUUGAAAUAGUGUGAAGAGUUUACUUGGCAUGUUGUCUAACACAUCAAAAGUGCUGGAUAGGUGAAUCUACACUCUAUUCAAAUGAAAGGGAAAACUGUAUCCCAGAGGAGAGUUGUUUGCAGCCAAAAAUAUUGACAGAACGGAAAUUCCUCAGAGGAUACAGCUUUACUUCUAACCACUCAAAUGGAAAGUUCUCUUAUGUUCCACUCACACUCACACAGUAUUGGUAGGACUUCAGUCUACUUGACAAGAAAAAUGAUAUUAAAAUGUGUUUGUUUUUAUAUUUGUUGUUCUAUGUGCUUUAAAGCCUAAUCUUUUAAUUUAGUUGGUAUCUCCUCUAAUAUCAACAUUUAUUGGCUCUAAAAUAUAUUCAGUAAGUUCUGGCUUCAUGAUCAUAUUUACCAGAAAGUUUUAAUGCAUACAUUCAAUGACUGAGAUGUAAAGGCAAUUCAAUAUAGAGAUUAAAGUCAUAAUAUGAUUUUCUUAUUUAAAUAUGAAAUAGCAUUACUUAAUUUAUAAAAGAAAAUGAGAAGAAAAAAUAUAGAACUCUAACUCAAUAUAAGCAUUAAGUAUAUGGUUGGAGAAAUAUAGUGUCUUACUAUUAUAAUCCAUAAAAUACUAUUUACACUGAAGUGAGAUGUAUAAAGUCAAGCACAUUAUGACCUAAUUAUAUUUACAGCAUAAGUAAAAAAAUCACCACUGUUUGCAUAUGGAUUUAGUAGAGAACUCAGAAACUUUGCUACAGAGGCAAAAAUUCUCAAGAAUUUUUUUCCUUUCCUUUUAAAUAAGUCCAAUUUUUCUUUUCUUAAGAAAUGACCCACCCAAUGAUUAAACGAAUUCCAAACUAGCUCAAAGAGAAUAUUAAUAUGGUAUUUGUGUCUCAUUAGAAAAUCAAGUUGGAGGAGUUCCCAUCGUGGCUCAGUGGUUAACGAAUCCAACUAGGACCCAUGAGGUUGUGGGUUCAAUCCCUGGCCUUGCUCAGUGGGUUGAGGAUCUGGCAUUGCCAUGAGCUGUGGUGUAGGUCGCAGACCGGCUUGGAUCACGAGUUGCUGUGGCUGUGGUGUAGGCCAGUGGCUACAGCUCCGAUUAGACCUCUAGCCUGGGAACCUCCACAUGCCGUGGGAGUGGCCCUAGAAAAGGCAAAAAAAAAAAAAGAAAAGAAAAUCAAUUUGGAAAUGUUCUAACACUUAUAAUUUUAACCAUUGGAUUAGCUAUAAAAGGAUAAUCAAGUAACAUUCCAGCCUUCACGCGACAUUCUUUAUAAACUGUAAUGUUUUCUUUUAUAUUUUGACAUUGUGUCUGCAAGACUAUACGUCUCAGGAAGCAUGCAUUUGACCUUUCUUUAAAUAUAUACACUUUAUUCAGCAGGGAAAACAAAGUAAAUACUGGAGCUCUAAACAGUUCAGCAGCCUAUAAGGUAGAUUCCAAUUUGGGGAAGACAAUGAGAGACAAAGUACAGUGCAUGUUGGUCAUGCUUAAACUUUAAGUGAAAUUCCAGAAUAAAAUGUGCUUUUGGUGAACAUUUUCUAAAGUGAAACAAAAGUCUGAUAAGCACUUUACUUGAUAAAGUUUAUGUAAAACAUAUCAGAAAAUUACACAUUUUUAAUAGAAGUUUUGGAAAGUUUGCUAUUUAGUUUUUAAAUUCAAGAUGCUGUAAAUGAUUUACUCCUCUAUUCAAAAGUCUGGAGUGGUUCAGAUAGGAAAUUGAGAUGCUGUAUAAAAUUAGAAAUCUAUAAGAAUUGCACCACUUCAGAACUGGCCGUAGGACCCACAUUUAGAGCUAAAAGUUCAACAUCACAAAUUGUCAAGUUCGCAUGGAUAUUUUUCCCAUUACAAAAAGUGGCUGUUUAAAAAUAUGAUAAAGUUCCUCCUGAUAUUUACUUGUAUGAGGACAGAAAUAAUUAUGGCUCAUUUCAGAACCAGUUAAAUGAAGAAUGAGCUUCCACAGACUUGCAGAACAAGAGAAUGUGUUAUGUGGCCAAAGAGAGCAUAAGUUACAAAACACAGGAUCAGAAAGGGAGGUAGUUUAGAAGCCAUCAAAGAUUCUCACUUGUAGAGAAGCCGUCAAAUUUCCCUGACCUCCUCCUCCAUCCCUGAUCCCACCACCCACCCAUCCUCUUUCAAACAGACUCCACCAUGAGAGAACAAAAGAGAUUAAAAGAAAUUAACGUGCUCAUGAAUGUUAGAAGCCUUGCUAUGGGGCAGUUAAAAGUCAUACCCCAUCCCUGCAUAUGGAGAAAAUACGAAGGCCAAGGCGUAAUCCAACUUUGCUACUUAUUAGCUGUGACACGGGGCAAGUGACACAAAGUACUGAACUUCUUUUCCCCUUGAAAAUAAGAACAAUGAGAAGCACUAAUAUUCUACUGUGGCUGAAAUCCAUGGUGAGCACUAACUCAAUGGCAGGGUUUCUUCCUCUUACUACUCGCUAAGUUUUUCCAAACCACACAAUGUUCAUGUUACUCGAAUAAUUCUUUUUCAUUAUUGUUUCACUUCCCCCCCACAGACAGAAAUCUUGCUACAGACAUGACCCCCAAGCCCACUGUUUUCCUUCCUUCAAUUGCUGAGAUAGAGCACUCUAAGGUUGGAACAUACCUUUGUCUUCUGGAGAAGUUUUUCCCUAAUGCUAUUCAGGUUUAUUGGAAAGAAAAGAAUGACAACAGAGUUCUGGAAUCCAUGCAAGGAAACACCGUGAAGACUGAUGACACAUACAUGAAAUUCAGCUGGCUGACUGUGAGUGAAGAGUCCAUGGGUAAAGAACACAUAUGUUUCGUCAAACAUGAGAAAAACAGAGUAGAACCUGUUCAGGAGAUUCUUUUUCCUUCAAUUAAUGAAGGUAUGUGAAUAUAAAUAUAUAUGUAAUCUCCCAGAACACUGUGUUUCAAGGAAAAUAUCCCACCUUUUCUGCUAAGCAUUAAUGAUAAACAAGUAAGUCUUUGUAAAAUGAUGUUUCAUUUAAUUGUAGCAUGAAUGUCCUGUUAUUUCCCCAUAGAACUAAAAUAGGAUAUUCUUUGAAACAUCAAAAAGAAAAUAAAAUGUACUUAAUCUUUCUCAGCCUCAGUUUCAUCUUCCACAAUAUUAAAGUCACAGUGAUGUUUCUUAGGGUUGUUAUAUGGCUGAAAUGAAAGGACAUGCAUGAAAACAUCUAGCAAAUUAGCACACAACCAAUGUGCAAAAGCAGAUGCCAUUAUAGAUGAUCUUGGUUGAUGAGGAAAUAAGAACCACUAUACUUCUUGCAGGAAGGGUCUGUUCAAUAAGGAAAGCCACACUCACUUCAAUCUUGCUCUAUUCAAAGUAUAACUCAGAAAGGAGUAUUAAAUGACAAAAUUGUGUUCCGAUGAGAGUCAGAUUACCGCUCAAUAAAAAGUAGAGUAAUUUGACCACUGUGGUUUUAUUAUGGUCUUAGGUUUUUGACCUUUGUACUUUACAUACCAACUUAAGAUAAAAUUUUGCAAGUAAGAUUGGGUAAGGGUUACCCCCAUUCUACAUAAUGAAUGUAUUCCUUGCCAUUGGUGAAUGCCUCUCAAGAAACGUUUAUUGCAGCCUUAGCACGUGCCAGUUCUGGAGGAGACAUGGGGAUGAACACCCUGGGGUGAAUUCCUGUCCCAGGAGCUGGCACUACACUAAAGAGAAUACAUUCUUUUCCUGUUGACUCAGGGUCACCCGAUUCUGGCAUGAUGUCCCAAAGGAGCCCCUGGGUGCAGAGGCUGUACACAUCCACUCAGGGAGGGCAGGGAGCUCGGUGUGCCUUGGCCCUGGCAGUGGUGACUGUAACUCACUAGACUCAGUACUUGGUGUCCUGAGUAUUAAAUUAACAGAGCAAAGGCCCCAGGAUGCCCAUCAAAAGGAGUCAUUUUCGGAGUUCCCGUUGUGGCUCAGUGGUUAAUGAAUCUGACUAGGAACCAUGAGGUUGGGGGUUCAAUCCCUGGCCUCGCUCAGUGGGUUAAGGACCUGGCAUUGCAGUGAGCUGUGGUGUAGGUCUCAUAUGUGGCUCGGAUCCUGCAUUGCUGUGGCUGUGGUGUAGGCUGGUGGCUACAGCUCUGAUUAGACCCCUCCCCAGCCUGGGAACCUCCAUACGCUCUAGAAAGGACAAAAAAAAAAAAAAAAAAAAAAAAA